AAGAAAAUAGACCUUGUACCUGGGCCCUGAACCAGAGAGUGGAGACACUCUGUGACUUAUGUCAGAAAUGACUCUAGCAACAGACCUUGAAAAUCCAAAGUCUAAAAGGCCCAUUUAUCCUCUCCUCCACUCUGACCCUGAAGCUGAGUGCUGGGAUCUGUCCAUGGAGGCAGAGUGCAUGGGAAGCAUGUCCCACUUCCUGACUGGACAUUGCUCAGCUGGCCUGUAGCUCAACACUCCUAUAUUUUGAGAACAUCAUGGGCCAUGUCUCAGGAAACCCCGGCUUAACUUAUAACAGAUACACUCUAUAACACUCAGCACGCCCCUGCUCCCCAGGAUGCACUCCAACAGUGGUUCACCUAAUUCCCAACAUUGUUCUGAGGCCUCUGAGCCUUCCAACACGUUGACCAUUACCUCAGUCCUAAUGAGUGGUGGCACCAGGGUGGCAGCUGUGCUUGGAUUGCCUCCUCCCCAGCCCUGACUUCAAAGGAAGUCCCUGCCUGCAAGCUAGCUCAAGGACAUAUCCUCUGUGUCUGAACCCUGGGCUUGUUCUACAGCACAGCUGAGAGAAAUCUCUGGUCCCAUCCAGCCAGAUGACCGACCCCCAAGAGGGCUGGGAGCCGAUUGCUGCUCAUCUCACACCAGCUCAAACCCUUUUCUCUCAGAAAGGACGCAUCUCAAGCAGGCAGGAGACACUCUAAGUGCACCUUCCUCCAAGGAUGCCAGCAUCCCUGUCUGAGAUCUAGGAUCCUGAGGCACGAAACAGGAUGAGAACAUGGGGUAAUUCCAGGUAACACAGAUCAGGAAAAGGGAGGGGGUUAAACAGAGGCUUUAGGGACAUGGAAUUGAAGAAGAUGGCUGCUCCGAGUUGGCUCCGUCAACCCUGCUGCUAACUAGCUGUACUCAGGACAAUCAUUUCUGUCUCCACGAGCUACAGUUUCCUCACAUACCCAAGGUCUCUGUCUCCUGACCCUUGCUUGGAAUCCUUGACAUCAUCUGUCCAGGUUGUGUUUGGCCUGCAGAGCCCGACCUUGCAGCUGAGAACCUGCUGUUUGAGCAAGCUCAUCAAGACUGCAGGAUUAUUUCACUCGACUGAGGAUGCUGGCUCUCCCCACCACACCCCUGCAGAAUCCCUGCCUGACCUGUGUCUCACGGGGACCGACGCACUAAUAACGGGCCAUGUUCAGGAGGAGAAAUGCCAAGGGGCAUGCUGCCGGGAGACGGUUGUGACUUCUGCCUGGAAACAACACUGUUGGGCUGUCAGAGUCUGCAUUGAAAUGAUAGUUUUCAAAAUCAUGUUGAGGAGCAGGAUGCUGACCCACCAUCAGGUUAGGGAUGGCAAUUUCAAAGGUGAGCGCUGAUGUCAGUCAUGUCUGCAGGAGCAAUUAAGUUUUCUUCCUAAUGUCUAGGCAUGGGUUCAGGGAGUGGGCCGAGGACACCAGCCCUCUGGGAAUGCCCCGAGGAGCUUGGAUAAAUUUAGACAGCCAAGUGGCCAUUACCAUCACUAUCUUGGGCAUCUAAUAUAUAAACCAUCUCACAUUAUACUGGAACCGAUGUUGAGUUCAGGCUGUCCUCUGCAGAGACCGAGUAGGUAAUAGACCUUAGGGAGAGAUUUUACUGUUUCUCUUAAACUAAGGUCCUUAAGACAUGGAAAAAGCAUUUCACUCUACAAAUAGCCACUCAAGGUUCCCAAAUACAUUUCGUUUUUCUUACUAAUUAGUUAAAGAUGAAAUAAUGCUUGAACACUUCAUAAUCUUAAAUUCACAAUAUUUUACUUAAUUAAAAUAGGUAAUUUAGAAAAAUAAUUGGCAAUUGCUGAAACCUCUAAUGCUGAUGAGAACUGAGCUGGAAGCAUUCUUUCUUCACAAAUUGGUAUUUAAAAUAUAAAGUUCCGCACACAGCUGGAGAGUGCCAUCGUAAUUUGGCAUUUAUGUUCAGUAGCUAUCAUUAAACCAAACAAACUAAAAUUAAAGAGGAAAGAGAGUGGGCUUUAAGACAUAUUCAGGGCAGAUGCCAAGGGCUCAAAAGUAUAAACGUGGCUUUCUAAGCAUUUAUUAGGAAGCAUCGUGUUAGAGAACAGACCUAGGAAUUUCUAACACAUUGCUUUUAUUUCAUACUUUAUUCACUGUAUUCUGAAAAUAAAGCUUUGGUAAUAUUUGAGUUCAGGUGAGAAACUGACUCAACAUAAACUCUUCUUCACCAAAGGACAGUGUUAGUGGGUAGGCUCCAAAGGCUCCCGCUUUUCCUACUGAGUCCUUUCUCUGUGGCAUCCAAAAACACUGGCACCGGCUCAAAUAGAGGUGGAGGAAUUGUGGCUGGGAAUGAAAACAGGCUUUUUGCACAUUUCUUCUUGAGGGGAAAAAAAAAUACCUCUGACAUUCCACACAACAGCAGAGAUUCAUGCUAAUUCGCAGGAAAACCGAGAAAAGCACACCCUUUGGAGAGCUUAUUUGUUUAGUGGGAGGCUGUCGUUUUCAGUCCUGGAACAAAAGUCUGUUGAUGAGGGUGGGAGCAGACGCAGACAUCAUUAUGUGUGUGCGAUGGAGGGAGGGAGGGGGGCGGGCCGUUCUACACUAUGGAAUUUGCUAUCACUUUCUACUUGGCAACACAUUAAAAAACAUAAGAUUUUAAACAACAGUCUAAAGAGCAAGGAUUUUUAAAAAAAGAAAAAGCCACCACAGUACAACAAAUGUUUUGUUCUAGAGGAGCAUGGGAAGUUCCUGUUCUAGCAAACCGGGCUUCAGAAUAAAGGGUCUUUAUACCCUUUUACAAAUACAAGUCCAAAGUGUGUAUCAAAUUAUUGCCCUGUUAAAGAACAUCGAGCAUUUUUCAGUUUUCAUGACUUUUUCUGGAGAUGUAGAAACUCCUAGGAAGCAAAGCAGUUUGAUAGAUUUCAAUCUUAAGAGAUUUACUUUCAAAAUCAGAGUUUUUUUUUUUUGGUUUUUUUUUGGUUUUUCGAGACAGGGUUUCUCUGUGUAGCUUUGCGCCUUUCCUGGAACUUGCUUUGGAGACCAGGCUGGCCUCGAACUCACAGAGAUCCGCCUGGCUCUGCCUCCCAAGUGCUGGGAUUAAAGGCGUGCGCCACCACCGCCCGGCUUCAAAAUCAGAGUUUUAAGAGAAGAUGUGAAAUAGAUUUUUAAACUUCCAGGGCAGGACAAAUACUCCAGACCGCUAACGGAAACCCAGCAUAACAAAUGUUUUCUUUGGCCAUGAUUUUUACCAAAUUUAUCAUGAAAAAUAUAAAUUAGCCAAUGUGUUUAUUACCUGCUCUGUGCCAUUCGCUAAACCAGAGAGUAACAAGGUGGAUGACCCAGAGCUCAGUUGUCAAGGUCGCUGGCACUAAGGGGAAUGAUGAUGUGAUAUUAGGAGAACUGAUUGAAACAGCAGCUCAAGUGUUAUUGGGAACACAUAGGGAGAAAAACAUUCUAUUUUUCCUCCUUUUUGGGGGGUGGUGGUGGGAGCAGAGGAGGAGGCUGACGGGAGCUGGGAUCACCUCCUCGAGAAGGUGGUAUUGAACUGACCUUGAAGUCCAGCUGGUGGGGACCAAACAGGAGGCAGGGCAUUUCGGGGAGAGAAGACAGAGAAAUGGAGGGGCGGUGCAAAGACAUGAUUCAAAGGACAGGAGAGCUCAGAGGGGCACAUCUGUGAGGGGAGUUGCAGCUGGUGAGAGACUUGACCAAAGGGGCCUGGCAAGGACAUGUUUGUGCCCGUGAUGCUCUGGCAUCCCGAGUGUCACUCACUGACACGGACCUCACGACCCUAUGAGGUAGCUACUGCUAUUGCACCUUUGUGAAAGAGGAUAAGACGGACGUGUGGUGGUAGGCAGGCCCUGCCAUGUGUAAACUGCUUCAUAUUGCUCAGAACAGCAGUUUUCAGGGGGUUCUUGGUCCAGACUGACUCAAUUUUAUAAAGUAGCAGUUUGCUCCUGAUUGAGCAGAAAGGAUGACACGCGACCUCUUGUUUGUGUGAGGAAGCAACACUCUACCCAGCAUGAACUAUGACAAAUAACAUACAAACAAAUGAUUUUACACCUGUGAACUUUCCAAAUUCAUUCAGGGGCAUGUGGAUGCAGGGGCGGGUCAAAACCGCAUCAGUAGACCAGGUUUGUGGUUCACUGAACACAGCAGACCUAAGGAUGCAACCCCUCCAUUGGAUCACCAGCGCAGGCAGGUGGCUCCUACUUCCCACUCUUGGACUGCUGCUAUCAGACUAUCGGUACAUGCACCGGGAGAUUGACAGGUGAUGGACUCGGCUUCUGUCCCUGGGCUGCAGCUCAGCAUGGCUCCCCUGCCUGAUUCAGCUCACUAAACUGCCACGCCUCUGGGAUCCAACUCUGUGCCUGGAGCCAGUGCUACACUUUGAAGCUGCUCGGUGUUUUGAAGCAGCCCUGUACCUCAGCAGCCCAUGGGCUGGGUCUUUCUAUUCACAUACAGCUACCUGCAGGGACUCUCAGCAUGUGUCAGCUCUCAGGCUUUGUCUUCUUCAGUAAGACCCCCUUGAGCCCUAUCCUGUAGCCUAGAUAUCAUUUUGUAGAACGUAAUAUGUGACCUGGGCAUCAUUAAUAUUAGCAGUUACGACUGGACUGAAAGAAUCUGUGUUUGCCAAUGACAGGAUUAUCAAAUGAAAUCCAAAGUACUUGGCAGAUCAAAGGAAAUGAAGUUGAUGUGGUCUGUGAGUUCACUUGUCUUCAAUAAAUUCAGAAACAAAUAUUGAAAGACUCACAUAUGUCCAUCUAUGAUUCAACAUAGCUUGCUCACAGCAGGCGCAGAUUAACAUGGCUAGUGGCACAGAGAGGUGGUGGUUCUCCAUCACCCCAGGAUGGUCAGUUUGAGGGGUGAAGCCAAGAAGGGGAACCGGAAGGGAUAGCUGCCUCCCAGGCUGCUCACGCUUGGAGAGAGGAAGGAGAGAGAGAUGUCAAGAACAGGAAGUCCUGGGGAGGGAGGAGCCUGGACAUCCCGGAGUCCGAGAGAGAAAUGGAAAUCAGAUUCAGUUUUCUAGGAAGUGAAAGCAAAGGACAGGACCCAGGAGGGAGGAGGCCAGCAGGUCUGCAUGGUGGCAGUGAGGGGUGUGAGUGAGGUGUCCGCGCCGGCGUGAGGAUGGGCCAGCACACUCAGGAUGUGGCUGGAGCUGCAGAGCUGGCAAUUGCUGAUGUGUAAUGGGCCAGAGGGCAGAGGGCAGGCAGACACACCUCACUCUGGGUCAGGAAGUGAAAAGGGACCAGGGACGUGACAGAAAGGAACAGAGACACUCAGGGAACAAGAAGCCCACUGUCUGCUUUAUAAGAGAAGUUUCAAGAAAAAAAAUUGUGAGGUGAACAGAAAAUGAAGAAGCAAGCUUUCCAGAGGCAGGCCCCAUAAGAGGUGCCGACCUCUGGAAGAAGUGGGUCCUGCUGCCUCUGCUGCAAACAGGAGGAGGUACUGAGGGAACAUAAGAGCCAAGCAGCCUGGGCCGUAGAAAGGCAGGACCGGCAGCCUUGAGGGAACAGGAAUUUGGGCGAAGGGAAAGGUUCUGGCCUGGGGCUGGGGGAGGCUCAGAAUCCUUCCUUCCAGCCUGAGUCAGCAUCGGGGUUGUUUCCUGCACAGACAUUUCAUGACGCAUUCUCUUCUCUACAAGAUGCUGGGUGUGGCACACCAGUCAGCUGAGAAGCAGCUGGCUGUGACUUGGCCAAAUAGAAGUUACUAGUGAGACCGGAGGCACUGAGGAGCAAACUGCUCUCGGUGUUAGCAGGAGCUGCCGAGGGCUCCUGGUGCUGCGAGGUCUUUCAUGUUCUGGUUCAAACACAGACAGCCUGCAGAACUGAAGUGAGACAGAAAGAACCAGAGAGGAGAUUACUUCCCUCCGUGGGGAGUCGCACUGCAAGUGUUGGGGUGCUACCCUUUGCUCUUAGGGAGAAGGUAUGAGUUUUGAGUGCUGUUACCCCGUUCUCCCUAAAAGUGGCAUUUAAAGAGAAGGGUGGUGUGUUUAGUGUGGCACGGCUCUUCAGCCAGAACAGAACUGUCCUCCGUGUGAGAUGCUAACCAGCCCACGAUGGACUCUUGGACUUGCAAACACGUAAACCAGCCUCCAGAUGAUGUUUGUAAUGGGAUCUCACAUAUAUAAAGGACGUGUGCCUUUAUAUAUCAAAUUUAAUGAAUUAUAUGAUGAAAGAAAAAUGUAGACAUGUCCACAGAACACAAAACAUGGACCAGCCAUACUGUCCUAAGUAUGGUGGACAGGUAAGCUUUACAGGCUUACAGGUUACAGGCUCUCCAAACAUGCAGGCCGGCAACACCACAGCAUUACAGAAGAAAAGGCAGCCAGGCAUAGUAGUUCAUACCUGCAAGUCAGUACUUGGGAGGUUGAGGCAGGAGGAUUGCUACUACAAGUUUGAGGCUACAUAGUAAGUUAUAGUUCAACCUGCAACGAAGAAUGAGACUCUGUUUAUAUAAAAAAAAAAAAGGAAAAAGAAAGAAGAAAAAAGGGGGAAAAGACAAAAAAUGAUCUGAUCAGAUUAACCCCUCACAUACUACCAUGGUCUGUGACAGCACGUUCCUCACAUGCCUGCAGACAGACGGUCCACAGAGAGCAGACAGCCUUUCUUCCCAAGAGUAAGCUUUCUGCCCGAGUUCAAAUUGACAAUGAUACUAAGCAAGCACCAGGAAUUAGCAAACCUCUGGUGUGGAGGAGACAUUGUGGGGCAUCAUGGGAAACGGAAGGAGGUGCGACAGCAUUUCUGCAGCAGUUGGUGGGUGCAUCUUAAGAAAGGGGUGAGUUCGCUGCUACUCUGGUUGUUAACAAAGGGCCCCGGGGGAAAGCCAGCUACAGCCGAGGCCUGCAGGGCAUGUGGGGUUUCAGGGCCACUGUGGACAGGGCAGUGGCUUCCCUGAGGCAAGGGAGUGUGAAUAAAGGGAUGCAUGCAGCACAGCAGAACAUGGGUGAGAGAAAAAUCUAAAGCAGUGAUCCUCAACCUUCCUGAUGCUGCCACCCUUCAGUACAGCUCCUCAUGCUGUGGUGACCCCAACCCCAAAAUCAUUUUGCUGCCAUUUUGUAACUGUAAUUUUGAUACUGUUAUGAAUUGUAAUGUGAAUAUCUAAUAUGCAGGAUAUCUGAUAUGUGACCCCAAAGGGAUCACAACCCACAAGUUAAGGACCACUGUUCUAAAGGAAGAAAAUUCCACUUGCAUUGCCAAGGAUUUUCAGUGAUGUCCUAAACAGCGUUUAUUUAUUUCCUUUUGAAGGAUAAUAGAUAACUACUGAUGAUGGAGGAGGGGAAAACACGUAAUAAAAACUGAGUUUAGGGCGAUUCUGUCACCCUCGAUAUGAGAGGUGGACCAGGAGAUGGGAGUGGCUGGAGGAAGUUCACAGGCCAUGGAAUGGUAGGAAUUGGAAGAUCCCCACAUGACAGCUCUUGGCAGGGAGCACACAGCUGAAGACCCCAGGGCAGAAACCGAGCUCUCAAGUACAGGUUGCCUAUCCUUAACUUGGGGAUGAAAAUCUGCCUACGCGAUGAGUAGCCAUGAGGCUUAAGUGGAUGAGAAGAGCGUGGCAGAUGCGAGUGUCUGAUUAUCAUCCUGUAAACACACUACACUUUACUUCUCUAUAUUUAAGAAACCAGUAUGCACGCGUGCUUAUUUGAGACAGUCAACAGUAUUCCUAUGUACAGCAUCCCCAUGCUUCCUCUCAUUUGGGUCUAAGGCACUGGCGAUUGUAUAUAUAACAUUCUGUUGGCCAUAGUGUUCUCUGUAUGGGGUCUACGAGGCCAUGGAUCAAUCUAUAGGCUGGUGGAGGAAGACUAGGCAUUCUUGGGUGACGGUGGGGGAGCUGAGACAGAUAGGCUUUAUAAGGGAUGCUGGACUCCCUGAAAAGGAAGCGCAGCAGAGAACGCAUUGCUGGGGUCGACAGGAUGGAAAUGGGAUGAGUGAUUUAGAGGCGGCCAUAUGCUGAGGCAUGACCAUGUGCAAGGUGGCACAACAUUGCCUGUGUUUUCAGAGGAACACCGUGGGAACGAAUGGGAAAUGAGCUGCAAACAACGAGAGAAACUUGAACAAAAGCCACAGGGAGAAAAACUUGAGUAGAACGUUCCUGAAGAGACAUUUUAAAACAUGGUAGCGUGUGAGGCAAAAACGCAGGAACAGAUUGCACUUAAAACAUGUUAUUAAAUCCUUAGCAGAAUGAGGCCCAACACUGCGUAAGCAGGAACCUCGCGGAACCGUCCUUAUGAAAAGCUAAUAGAGAUAAGUGAGGGCGCCACCAUUUGAUUUACCUGUGAUAAGAAGAGAAGGCCAGCAAAAAGGGGAACAAAACAUCACAUACAAUGCCAGAUUUUCCAGAAAAAAAAAUAGAGUGUUUCCUCUCCUUUGGACAAUAUGCUACACAUAUGGUAGGCCUCUUCGCUUGAUAAACAUCUACAAGUCGAUGGUGUGGGGACAGAUGGCGGCUUCAAGACUUGUCUUAUUAAUUUCCAUCCCAUUAGACUGCAUAACUCACCACUCGGAUCAUCAACAUGGCUUCUGUUCUUGGAGACCAACGGAAGGCACUAAGGUAAGUGACCAGGAGGGGACGAAAGCAGCCUAGCCUCUGGUAAGUGACAGCUGUGGUCAGGAAAUGGUGUGAAGGUCAAGCCUUGGGGCUCUGACCAUGGAGACAAGGCUAUGGAUGACACCUCCUGGUCACUAAUGGUGCUACACACAGGACUGGGAGGGAAGGAAGAAGAGGAGACCUUGAGAAUGGGGAUCUGUACACAAGGCUCUAAAAAUCCCAGGAAUACCAGAACGUGUGGGUGUGGUCAGUCAGAACUGAAGAGGAGGGAGAAACCUCAGCAGAAGGGAUGCUAUUCAAGGCUAUUGGUGUGUGUACGACACGGAAACCCAGUAACAGGAUUCCCACCACCACAAGAAACAAAGGAAGAGCAAGUUGCCCUGUCCCCAACUUCCCUGAAGAAUGCCUCUCCCUCCCCUACCUCCAGCAAGUAUCAGGGACUCCUCUACUUGGUACCAAUGCCAGACCAGACUCUGGUAGGUCGGGGCAGUACCACCUAUCAGAAAACAGAGCACCCUGUGACAGGAACGGGUGCACAACUGUGCCAUUUCCAGCAGUCUGUAUCCAGGAGUCACUGAGAUGUGUCCUCGGCAGCAGUAGAGACUGGGACUGAUACACCUGCAUCAAUGACCCUUCAACUUCUGUAGGGUUCCCUGUUCCCACCUUGUCUCUGCUUAGACUUCUUACAAGGACCUGCUGAUAACUCUCUUGACCUCACCAAACUGCACUUACUCUCAACAUCACCCUUUACAAUUUUUUGUUUUUGUGUUUUUUAUGAUACAAAUGUUGGUGCAUUACAGCAAUAUGUGAGCAUGUGUGUCGGUUUUCUGUGUGCAUUUUUUUUUUCAACAGAUGGGGUGCAUGGUCGUCCAAGAGGUUCUUCUCACAAGUGACCUGAUUACUAACAGCCUCCAGCAGAGGCAUCAGUCAAUCACACCCCACCCUGAGCUCACAGCUCUGCUUCACAUUGUGAGACCAAGGCAGGAACAAUGCGCCUUGCAGGUUAAAGGUUCUGGUUGCAGUUUAGACAGUUCGGAAUCAGUUCUCAUUCAUCCCAUGCAGGUUAUGGUUUCUGCUUGUGGUUAAAGAAUAAGUUCCUAGGCUGAGUCCUUGUAGGUUAAGGUUUCUAUUUGUAAUUAAGAGUAAGUUCCUGUUGCUUAGAUCUGAUGUAAACUGCUUGUGACUCCAUUCACACGAUGUAUGUCCUUACCCUGGUUCCUUCCCUUUCGUUGUAUUUUUCUAACCAUGUAUAACAACCGACUCUCUUGCCCCUGUAAACACCUUAUCUCUCUGAUAAAAAAAAUAAAUAAAUAAAAGCACCUCAAGAGGCUGGCAGGGAAUGUUCUCUCAAAUCACAAUUUAGGGGGAGACAGCUGGAUGGCUAGUCCAGGUGCACCCCAAAAUACAGCUUGCUGUAAUGGGACAAUUGUGGAUUUGAUCUUUUCUCCUCUGGAUUCUCAGGUUUAAUAGCACCACCUCUCCCAAUCUCUCUGCCUGCACAGCCCACCCACCCAAGAGCCCCGGCCCUGAUGCUGGGUGUGGGUUCUCAUCUCUUCCUCUCUCCUCACGCUGGAGUCUCCCAGGCCCAGUGUUCCCCUCCCUUGGUCUUUCACGCCAUAGCCUUCCACGUGGUCCUCCCAACCUACCCUAGUCAGGCGGCCGAUUGUGCAGCACACUACUUCCUAUCCUCUGUGGUUCAGUUCCUCCCCCACACCUCCUUGGAAGAUGAAGGUGAUUCUAUUAUUACACUGUUGAAGUUCCCUCAGUACCUGCCUGACACCCCAGGGAGAGACCUUGGGAACGGCUUUCUGUCUUCACCUGGCCCCUCCACUCCACGCUGCGGCCACUCCGAGGCUGGCAACAGAUGGCUAGCUCCCAUCCGCCUCUAUGAUGUAGGGCACACUGUCCUCUUUCCAGCUACUCUGUCCCAUGGCCUGGGGGUCCUUCUAGCACUCAAGAGUUCCCUGAAUCUUUCCCUUAGAGUAUCCUAAUAUGAUACUCUAGAACCAUCUCACAGUUGUCAAAACUAAGACAGCUUACUGUGAACUGGACUGAAGGCUUUGGAUUUCCCUGUGUUCUCCACUAAUGUCCUCUUUCUGAUUUCUGGCUCCACCAAGAUGGUGCCAGUCAUUGUGUGUCCAAACUCCCCUCUUUAGGGCAGAGUCUUAGUCUAUCGAUCUGAUUCUGACGACUCUGGAGGUGAAUGUUAAUGGAACAAAUACUACAAAUACUACUGCCUUUCUCAAAACCCCAUCCCAGGCUCUGAGUGUCUGGCUUUCCAGUC